GCUUGAGGUGAGGCUGAGCUUGGCUUGCUUAUAGAGCUAGCUGUGCAACACUUGUUGGUCUCCCUUCACUGAGAAAGGCACAGCAGAGAACUUCUGGCAUGGCUCCAGGGACCUUUUACUGACUUGUGCUGAGGCUGAGGCCUGGCUGUCUCUGCCAGGUGGUACCACUGCUGCUGAUUCCUGUUUGCUAUCCUGACUCUCCUGAACUGGAAUGCUGGUAUAUUUGUGAAGUACUUGUGUCCGUUGUGGGAGGCAAGAAGAGGAAUUGGCGUCCAGGAUGGUUGCUCAUACGAUGAAGAGCGUGUUGUUCUAAUGCUUCUGUAGCUGGGGAAGUUCCUGGAAGCUUAGCUGCUCUAGAGAUUACUAGAAGUCAGGUGAUAAGGAGCUAAGAAGCAGAACCCUUGACUUCCAUGGAUGAAUGAGAUACCAUGAAGUGUUUACUUACUAAGAACAUGGAAAUGAUAUCAGAGGGAUCAUAAUCAGUUUGAGAGACAUGGACAAGAGGAAACAAAAUCAGCAAUGUUGACUAAGAGUUGGAAGCCAAUCAGAUACACAUUUGAAAUAUUAUAUGAUGCUCCAUCUAAAACUUUAGUGUGAUUUGGGACUAUUUAAGAAAUGGGAUUAUAUAACAAACAAGGGCAAAAUAGCAUACUCUAACCGGGAAUAUUGGACCUGGGGACUAAAAAGAAAUAAGUGACUGGAAGGAAUCCAAAGAAGAUCAUCAAUGGUGAUGGUUUUCAAGUAAAAUAUUAACUUUUUAGUGUAGCCAAACCACAGAAUCAGACCCAAGGGGCCUGAUACAAAUCUACAAAUAGCUCAAGGGGCUAAACACCAAGGGUAAAGAGGAAUUUUGGCUGGAGAAAUGAAAGUUAGAAUAAAGAAAAGGAAAUUUAGGUUAAACAUCAGAAGAUGUCCUUUGAUAGUAAGAUGUGUUUAUCCAACAAUUUCUUAUGGGAAUACAAAAAGAAAACUGAUAAUUUUUCUGAGAUACUUAAUAAAAGCAUACCUUGAUGUCAGACCAACUUUCACUACAAUAGCCUUGUGCCAUGACCAGAUGAAAUAACAAUUCUUUGAACCUCAAGUUUUUGUGAUAAUGUAAUGAGAAUUAAUAAUGAACAGACUGGCUUUUUAAUAAAAGGUGUCGUAAGGCUUUAGUUAAGGCUACGUGAAAAGAAAACAAACACAAACAUGCGUGACGCCACUUUCAAUACCAAUUGCUGGUAUGGAACAAAGUCUUCGAUCUGCUUUUGAUGUCAAACUAAGAGAAGAAAAACUAGGGAAGCAUCUGGAACACAUGGGCACUGGAAAAAAUUUCCUGAACAAAACACCAAUGGCUUACGCUCUAAGAUCAAGAAUCGACAAAUGGGAUCUCAUAAAACUUCAAAGCUUCUGUAAGGCAAAGGACACUGUGGUUAGGACAAAACGGCAACCAACAGAUUGGGAAAAGAUCUUUACCAAUCCUACAACAGAUAGAGGCCUUAUAUCCAAAAUAUACAAAGAACUCAAGAAGUUAGACCGCAGGGAGACAAAUAACCCUAUUAAAAAUGGGGUUCAGAGCUAAACAAAGAAUUCACAGCUGAGGGAUGCCGAAUGGCUGAGAAACACCUGAAGAAAUGUUCAACAUCUUUAGUCAUAAGGGAAAUGCAAAUCAAAACAACCCUGAGAUUUCACCUCACACCGGUGAGAAUGGCUAAGAUCAAAAACUCAGGUUAAAACCCACUUAGGCACUGCUUAUACGAGGUAUAUAGACAUAGACGUAGACAAAAACAGAAAAUAAAAAUAAAGAAAAAAUUACAAAAGAGUCUGAAGAUGAAUUUAAUAGAGUUACCCCUUUAUGAAAUUUGUCAAGGAUCAGCAUCUUGUCCUUCAUCAAAUAUAGCAUAACUUGGCAUUCAGCCAGAGUGGCCAAUAGCAGUUGAGUCUGUGUGAGCAAAUGGAGUAAGGGUGAAGAGUCAUAUUGGAUACCCUAAGUAAGAAUGAUGAUCCCACAAGUUAGGAGAACCUCAACAUAAACUUAAUACUCAGGCAGAAGAGAACAUAAAAAUACUCUUUUAAUAAAUAUAUUAUUACUAGUUAUUGUUGUUGAGAUAGGGCUUCACUGUAUCUACCUAGCAAUCCUGGAACCCAAAGAGAUUCAUCUGCCUCUGCCUCCUGAGUGCUGGUUGUAAAGAUAUGAAAUACCAUGGCUAUCACUUUAUUAUACUGAACUAACAAAUAAAAACAUCACACAGCUAGAGUAUGAUUGCCAUGCAAACAAACACAUGUCUAAUUCCAAAUUUUGUCUUCCAGUGAACUUCUAUGUACUCAGAAUAACCAUUCUGAAGCCAGGAAGAUUCCCUUAGGGCUUUCUUUUUAUUUAUGUUUAUUUAUUUAUUUAUUUAUUUAUUUAUUUAUUUAUUUAUUUACAUCCAUCUCAACUGCUACUCCCUCCCUGUCACCCUUCAAAGAGUUCCUCCCCUUUCCCCUCUUCACUUCUGAGAGGUCAGAUCUUUCACCCUGUAUCUCUCUACCCCAAAUCCCCUCACUGUGGUGUAUCAAGUCUCUGCACGAUUAGUUUCAUCCUCUCCCACUGAGAUCAGACAUGACAGCCCUCUGCUACGUAUGUGCCAAGACCUUGAACCAGCCUUUGUGUGCUCUUUGUUUGGUGGCUUAGUCUCUUAGAGCUCUCAGGAGUCCCGGUUAGUUGACACUGUUGGUCUUCCUGUGGGGUUACCAUCUCCUUGAAGACCUUCAGUCCUUCCCUAACUCUUCUAUAGGGGUCCACGACCUCUGGCAAAUGCUUAUCUGUGGUUAUCUACAUCUGUUUAACACAGCUGCUGGAUAGAGUCUCUCAGAGGGCUACUAUGCUAGGUUUCUGUCUCUGUCUGCUGUCCCAAGCAGAGCAGUUGGCUAGUUUGGAGAACUCGAAGGUUUCCAUGGGGAGGAGGGCAGGAUGAUCUUGGGGUUCUGUGAGGCUCCUCCGGAUGAGGAGCCAGGUCAGAGCUAGACAAUGGGGCUCCAGGGACAGUUUGGCCACUCACCUCUGCUGGCUCUCCCAGGCAGACCAGCUGGGUGGAGGACAGAUUCAACUAGGAUGCAUUGUUCAUCAGGGUUCCAAACUGCUUUGUUUUGGGGACCUUAAAGGUUUUCAUGGGGAAGCCAAACACUCUUGGGGUCCUGCAAGGCUAGGGAGCCAAGCCAGAGCUAGACAAUUGGGUUUUCUACUUUUAUUAUUAAUUAUAUUUUUCUUAUUGAGUUAUGUGCUGAUGAAAAUGUGGGAAUAUAAAAAUGGACGAUUAUGCUGAUAAGUAAAAUGAAAUAAUGAUAUUUAUAAGAAAAUGAAUUGACUUAGAAUGUAUAAUCUAAAUUGAGGUGACUGAAACUCAGAAGAAAAAAAUGACUAUUCUCCUUCAUAUGCAGAUACUAGCCUCAAAACUAUACAUGUUUGCAUGUAAACAACUGAGUGCAUAUAGUAAUUAUAGUAUAGUAUAGUAACUAUAGUAUAGUUAUUGAUUGUUCUAGUGCCUUGUCAACUCUGUCAUAGGUUCUUCUUCUUCCUCCUCUUCCUCCUCCUCCUCUUCCUCUUCUUCUUAGAGAUAAGUACCACCAUGAGAUAUUUUUUAAUGUUAAAAUGUCCAAAUAGUUAUCUUACAAAAAUAUUUUAUUUAAGAAGAACCAUUGUAUUUGUUCCUGUGUUUUGAAAGCACACAUAAACAACUUAUCAGCUAGCUUUCCCCACGGAGCUCCAAGUUAAUGAAUAUAGCUAUUCACUAGACAAGAAUGCUUUGACCAAUGAUGCAUCCUAUGUAUAACAUUCUAUAAGAUAUUAAUGGAGCUGAAAAAGUUGAUUGCUGCAUUGAUGCUACUAUGCAAUUCUUAAUUAGAUUGUAUGUAGUCAUAUGUGGUAUAUCUCAGCACUUAGGAGGCAAAGAGCAGAGGACUGAAAGUUGAAGAUUAGCCUAGGCUACAGAGCAAGACCUUGCCCCCAAUAAAAACAAACCCAACAAGCCCCAGUAGAACAUACAAAAUUAUAUUCAUUACCUUUAUAUACUAUAUGCGUCAAUUAUAAGGAAUUGUGUAUUUACUAUACUAUUCUUUUACUAAGUAAAAAAAUGUUUACUAUAAAUCAGGAUGUCAUGUUAAAUGGGCAGUGGCCUCAGACAUUACAAACUUGUCACAUUUCUUGGUUCUCUCAAGAUGCCACUUCAAUUGACUAAUUUAUACCAUUCAUAUUUGUGUGCACUCUAUGGUGUCCACACAAUUACAAACCACUAACAAUACACUUCUUAACCCAUGUCCACUGGUGAACCACACAUGAAUAUAUUUAAAAGACUUACUCACUGUUCCCAAGUGUGAAACGACUUCCAGGUUAAUGGUAGGUCAGGACCUAUUGUCUGCUCUAAGCCCUAGAAGUGCUGAUAGAAAAAGAGUCAUUCUAUUUGUUGGCUGUCCAACCCUGACCAGAAAUGUACCUGUAUUACACUUCUAUUCACCCAGCAAUCCUGGCAGGGUGCAUUUUCCACCUCACAGUCAUCAUACGAGCUUAGACAGUUAGAACAUAUAUAUGAAGUAGACAUUACAUUCAUAGCUGCCUUGAGUCACAAGGGGUCCCAUAAAGUGUGAUUCUGUUAACCAUCUACUCUGAAUGCCAAGACUCAAUGAGGCAUAACCGUGCAAUGAGGCAUGACUAAGCAGUGGUAUCCUAAUGCUGGAGACUAUUUCAGGUAGGUGUUUUCAACAUGAGUGAGGUUUUAUGAGGUAUUGUCACCAAAGAAAGGGCAUGCAAGACUCACCCACAUUUACUUCUACUGCAAAUUCUUUAAGGAGCCUGGAGAUAGCUAACCACAAACUCCCAAAGGUGAUUCAGUAAACUGUUAGGGAGGCCAUCAAGUGGUUUUAAGUGCUGUGGCUUCACUCAGAAGAGCUCAUGAACAAUCACAGGAAACACUUGGGACAUGCCAAGUAACCAGAAGAAAUAGCAGCACAGCGAUGGACACUUAGAAUCUCACAUUCUAUUUUCAGGCAGCAGAGCCUGUCACGAUAGUCUAUACCUUAAAUUCCCAGAUGGGGGAGACAGAGGCAGGAGGGUCUCGAAGUGAAGCUUGAGGCCAGCCUGGAACUCAGCAAAUUUCAGGCCAGCUGGGGCCUGACCAAAUUUAAAAUAAUAGUAGGCAUUGUCUUAGGAUUACUAUUGCUGUGAUGAAACACCAGGACCCAAAGCAAGAUGGAUCACAGUCCACCACUGAAGGAAGUCAGGGUAGAAACUCAAGCAGAGCAGGAAAUAGAAGGAGGAGGAGGAGGUCGGAGAUGAUUCAGAAGCCAUGGAAGGGUGCUGCUUACUGGCUUGCUCCAUAUGGCUUGCUCAGCCUGCUUACUUAUAGCACAUGGAACCUCCAGCCCAAGGAUGUCCUUGCCCACAAUCAGUGGGGGCCCUCCAGGAUCAAUCUUUAAUAAGAAAAUGCUUCACAGACUUGCCUACAGCCAAAUCUUAUGGGGACAUUUUCUCAUUUGCUCUCAAUUGAGGAUCUUUUCUCUCGGAUGACUCUAGCUUAUAUCAAAUUAAUAUAAAACUAGCCAGGACAACCACCAUCUACUCCCCCCCCACACUCACCACAAAACCCAACAAAACAAAGAAAAACAAACCCUAAAACAAAUUAUCUACACCCCGAAGCUUAUUGCCAUUCAAGCUGUCCUAAGAGUGUGGUCUCCUGCAGUUACAAAGAGAAAUCUAGGCUACAGGAGAAACCGGGAUAGGAUGUCCCAUGCUUUUAUGUAGGUGAUAAAAUUUUCUGCUAAUUUCAUGACAUGCCUUUUUCUAAUUAAUCGAUGCUAAAUAUUUAAUACUAAAUAGUAAAGCACCAAGGAACUUCAAGGUGGCAUUGUAAAAAGGCACAGUAAAGUAAUCCAGCUCUGCAUCCAGCAUCACAGGAAUAAGUUCCUCUAAAAAUCAAACGUGAACAGUUGCUGGUAUUAGUAACCUCGUUAUACACUUUUAAAAGAAACGAUAACGUUCCAUUUUUAUUUGUAGUCAGUUAUCAUUACCCCACAUAUUUUGUUUUGUUUUGAACACAGGGAACCACAUGAAGUAGCAUUCACUUAUUUCCAACAUUCAGACCAAUCCCUGCAGUCCCUGCAGAGAUGAUUGUAAGAUGCCUAGCAAAAUUAAGUGUGACAACAGAAAGCCCCACAAGAGGCAGGCAAGGCUUGGCGUUUUGUACAUUCCAUGAGUGGGAAAGUGGGAAAAGCUGCUUCAGGUCCGUUUCCAAGCCAGGAG